rnacentral:rRNA from 1 species
UUGCCCCAGUAGCGGCGAGUGAAGCGGCAAGAGCUCAGAUUUGAAAUCGUGUUUCGGCACGAGUUGUAGAGUGUAGGCGGGAGUCUCUGUGGAGCGCGGUGUCCAAGUCCCUUGGAACAGGGUGCCUGAGAGGGUGAGAGCCCCGUAGGGUGCUGCGCGAAGCUUUUGAGGCCCUGCUGACGAGUCGAGUUGUUUGGGAAUGCAGCUCCAAGCGGGUGGUAAAUUCCAUCUAAGGCUAAAUAUUGGCGAGAGACCGAUAGCGAACAAGUACUGUGAAGGAAAGAUGAAAAGCACUUUGAAAAGAGAGUGAAACAGCACGUGAAAUUGUUGAAAGGGAAGGGUAUUGGGCUCGACAUGGGGGGUGCGCACCGCUGUCUCUUGUAGGCGGCGCUCUGGGCGCCCUCUGGGCCAGCAUCGGUUCCUGCUGCGGGAGAAGGGGCUCCGGAAAGUGGCUCUUCGGAGUGUUAUAGCCGGGGCCAGAUGCCGCGUGUGGGGACCGAGGACUGCGGCNNCUGUCUCGGAUGCUGGCAUAACGGCGCAAUACCGC